CUCUGAGACAUCUAUGUUCCUUUCCAAGGUAAAUCUGAAGUCCAAAGACAUACAGUGAGUUCCAAGAGCCAUCUCCUCGUGACUGGGCCCCUUGUCUCGGGUUGCUGGAAGCUGAGGCUGGGCCAUCUGUGCUAGAAUGUUACAAUGUAGAAAAAGGGGAUUUUAAGAAUUUUGCCUCAUGGCCAUACCUAAGUGCAAAGGAGCCUGGAGAUAUGGUCUUUAACUAGGUGGCAUGUCCCACCUGAAAAUUCUACAAUCAUGGAAGAAUAGGAAGUAGGGAUUAAGAACCAGCCUCUCUACUACAGGCCACUGGAAGAAAGUGAUUGUUCUCCUGCAAUGAAUGGUAUUUGAACAUUAAUCAAGAGGAUAGGAAGAAAUCCCAGAAAAAAUGUUUUAAAAAAAGCUAUUUAUCUUCCUAUGUGUUUGAAAUCACAGGCUGGGUUGAACUUCAGAUUUGGAAAUAGGGUCUUUGAAGAUGUAAUUAGUUAAGAUGAGAUAAAAUAGAUAAAAGUGGGUCCUAUAUCCAAUGACUGAUAUCCUUAAAAGAAGAGGCAAGGACAGGUGGACACACACAAGGAGGAAGACCUUGUAAAGAUGCAGACAGAGACUGAAGUGACAACUGGAAAAGCUAAAGGACACCAAGUAUUGUCAGGAGCCUCUGGAAUCUAAGAAGCAUGGAGGGAUCUUCCCUUAUGUCCUUCUGAGGAAGCCAGCACCUUGAUUUUGGACCUUUGACCGCUAUAACCGUGAC
rnacentral:lncRNA from 1 species